ACGUAGGUGCCUUGGGGUGCACCGAACCACUAUAUAUCGUUGUAUUUGUGUUGUGCUUGUUCUUAUGCUUAUUCUUGCAUUAUCUUUCAUCUUUACUCUAGUUUAAUUCAUUCAAGUAAUUUAAGAAAGCAUUCACCGCACUUAACUAAGAAAACAUUUAAAGCACCAAAAAUUUAGAAAAACCCAAUUCACCCCCCCUCUUGGAUUGUCACCUUGGGCAACA
rnacentral:lncRNA from 1 species